CCUACGGGUGGCAGCAGUGAGGAAUAUUGGUCAAUGGACGAGAGUCUGAACCAGCCAAGUAGCGUGAAGGAUGACUGCCCUAUGGGUUGUAAACUUCUUUUAUAUGGGAAUAAAAUGUUCCACGUGUGGGAUUUUGUAUGUACCAUAUGAAUAAGGAUCGGCUAACUCCGUGCCAGCAGCCGCGGUAAUACGGAGGAUCCGAGCGUUAGCCGGAUUUAUUGGGUUUAAAGGGAGCGUAGGUGGAUUGUUAUGUCAGUUGUGAAAGUUUGCGGCUCAACCGUAAAAUGGCAGUUGAAACUGGCAGUCUUGAGUACAGUAGAGGUGGGCGGAAUUCGUGGUGUAGCGGUGAAAUGCUUAGAUAUCACGAAGAACUCCGAUUGCGAAGGCAGUUCACUGGACUGCAACUGACACUGAGGCUCGAAAGUGUGGGUAUCAAACAGGAUUAGAUACCCCAGUAGUC
rnacentral:rRNA from 1 species